UCCAUAUCCUUUCUAAGUAGAUCUUUGGAAGAUUGAUGUAAAACUGUGAUAGCAGUUGAAAUUGAGUUUCAAUUUUGCUAUUCUUUAAUGAGGAAAUGGGAAUUUAGAAGGUGUGUGUGGGCAGAGGUAUAGAUCUAGGGAGUCAGACUCUGGUGUUGAACUUACACUAGACAAUUUUUAUGAAGACGGAGAUACAAUUCAACAGAGGAAUUUAUCUCUGCUCGACUGGGAAACUUCAGCUACUGAUUUGAGAAUCUUCUUACUGUAGAUUAUUUUAUCGUUCUCCAUUUUUCUAUAUUAUUAACUUCAAUGGUCCCAAAGGAAUGAGGGUGUUCACUAUUUUUUCUGCAAGACGAAAGGGAAAGUCAUCUUAUAAAUUUUCACUGUUUUACAUGACUAAAUCUUAGGUAUUUUAUGCAUGUAGAGGUAUUCUCACUGCAGAUUCUGUCUGAAUUUUGAGUACUUCUCAAGUCGCUGGGCUCAAGUGUUUAUUAAGGAUGAUGGGAUUCUUCAGUUAAGGUUUGAAGGAGUAUUUGGAAGUUUCUCAGCCGACUCAAGAGUACUUUAUGUGUACAAGUUGUUCUGCAAAGAUAAAAUAUCCUUGUGUGUAUAUUAGCCCUCAUAUAGUGUUGUGUGUUACUUAUAGUUGUUACUUGUUAGGAGAUUUCAGAAAAAAGCUAUACGAACAAAAUAAAUUGCCAAGUAUGAGAAAGAUAUUUCAAGUUAAAGACUGACGAAUGUUACCAAUCGUUAAUGUCUUGGAGUAGUGCCAAUAGGAAGGACCUUGACAAUAAGACAUUCCAAACGUAUUCCCUAAGUAACAAAUGGUUGGAAUAAUUAUCAUGUUGUGGUGCCUAAGAUUAGCAAUCAAUUGCGUCAAAUUUUCUGUAGACCAAAGUCUGGAGAAACAAGCCGAGAAGCUCAGGGACCUUGCAAGCAGGGACGGAUCCAAGAAUUCUAUAUAGAUGAGGCAAAAAUACAUAUAAACAUAUUUUAAGAAUUAUAGAAGGGGCAUAUAUAGAGGAUAUUUCAAAAAAUUUAAAAAUUAAUAAUCAAAAUAGUAUAAAUAAUUUUUUUCAGCUGGGGCAAUUGCCCCUUGUGAUGCUCAUGUGGAUCCGUCCCUGCUUGCAAGCAAGUAUGAGUAUGACCGGAAAUCAUGCACUGAUUAGAUCAGAAAGUAAAGGUGUGUCAACACUUCUAUAUUAAUACAAUGCAGAAAAGAUACUGUCUUUGCAUUUUGAGUUCAUUUUAAACAAGAGCAUUUAGAGCUCUCUCGUGAAGCAUAUGAAGGUGCAGACUCAAUUCCCAACUAGAAUAAAAUGGUUUUUUGCAGUUCAGGCACAUGAGGAAUAGUGUGAAUAUCUCAAAUUAAGUAUGAUGAUGAGAAAAUGAAGAGGCGGAAGCUCCACAACCAGUUGCAGGAGACAAGUGAGAAUGAGAUUAUCAGGGUAUUUUGCCGUUGCCGUCCCUUAAGCAAGUCUGAGGUCAUAGCUGGAUGUGCAUCAGUAGUGCUGCUAUGGAUGGAGAUCUUGGAAUUGCGGUAAAAGGCUCCAACAAAAAGAGUUUCAAGUUUGAUCGUGUUUACACUCCUAAAGAUGAUCAAGAUGGAUGCAAUGUUUUGUAUAUUUUCCUAUGACAAACGGGAACAGGAAAGACAUUCACAAUGGAGGGGAAUGAGGUUAAUCGAGGAGUGAAUUACCGGACCCGGGAUGAAUUGUUCAAUACUGCCAAUGAGAGGACGAAACAAGCACUUACAUAAUUUCAGUUAGUGCACUUGAAGUUUACAGUGAUAAGAUUAGGGAUUUGUUGGCUAUAGAAACAUCCAGGAAAUUUGAGAUAAAGCAAACUUGUGAAGGAUCUCAUCAUAUACCUGGUAUUGUUGAAGCCAAAGUGGAAAAUAUCCAACAAGUCUGAAAUAUUAUACAAGCAGGAAGUAGUGCUCGGGCUGUAGGAUCAAAUAAUGUGAACGUGUACAGCAGUCAGUCUCACUAGUAAUGACUUUAGCAGGUAGAUUCUUUCUCGCUUGCUAUCUCUUAUACGGCCCCACCUAUUCUUUCUCUCUCUCAGCAUGCUUUGUAUUAUGGUAAGGAGCAAAAAUCAAAUCAACGGAGAGUGCAUGAAAAACAAAUUUUGGCUUGUAGACUUAGCAGGAAGUGAGUGGCUUGGAGAUUAACAACUAAAAAAGGGUAUGAUGGACCUUGACAAUAAGCCAUUCCAUAUGUAUUGAACUCCUGUUAAUUUGUGCUGCCUAAGAUUUGCAAUCAAUUAUGUCAAAUUUUCUGCUUACCAAAGUCUGGAGAAGUAAGCUGAGAAGCUCAGGGACCUUGCAAGCAAGUAUGAGUAUGACCGGAAAUCUUGCACUGACGCAAUCAUCAGCUUAAAUCUAAAAGUAAAGGUUUGUCAACACUUCCAUAUAAAUACAAUACAGAAAAUGUACUGUCUUUGCAUUUUGAGUUCGUUUUUAUUGUAUAAAGCAAGCUGACUUCUUUUUUUUUGUGCUGAUCAUGAAACUAGAGCAUUCAGAGCUUUCUCGUGAAGCACAUGAAUGUGCAGACUCAAUUCCUGACAUGAAUAAAAACAAAUUUUGAUGUUCAAGUACUUGGUAUGUUUUAGUACUAAAUCAAAUAACAUAUUACAUGUGCUGAAUAUAACAUAAUCUGGCUUGAUAUUGUAGUGGAAUAGUGCGAAUAUUGUAAAAAUCAUGGAUUAAAUAUGCCCGGUAAAUGGAUUUUGACCAAAUA